CAAAACAAUUAAUUGAUAUGAUUCCAAAGACCAAGGAGGAGCUAUUUUCAUAUGAGAUAAACUGGAAUGUUUAUGACCAGCAUGCACUGCAUGAGAGAAUGAGACCCUGGAUUUCAAAGAAAAUUAUGGAGUUCUUGGGAGAAGAAGAGAAAACUCUGGUUGAUUACAUCGUAUCGAGUACUCAGGAACAUGUCAAGGCUUCCCAAAUGCUGGAGCUGUUGCAGUCUAUAUUAGAUGAGGAGGCAGAGAUGUUUGUGCUUAAGAUGUGGAGGAUGCUGAUAUUUGAAAUUAAAAAAGUGGAGACUGGUCUGGCUUUGCGUUCGAGAUCCUGAUCUAACAUUGAUGCCGUGCUGGCGGUUCAUGUGUUGCUCUUCGCUGGGUUAAAUAUCAACCCCGGACAACCUUUUUGGCCGCCCUCAAUGAAGAGCACUAUUGACAUUUGACAGUACCCUACUUCAUUGUCUACCAUAUGGAAUGAAGUCAUGACUCAUGUUCUUCACUACUUGUGGUAGCCCUUCCUUUUUCAAGUUUUAAACAUCCAUUUUCCCAUUUCUAUUCUAU